AGUGAACGCUGGCGGUAGGCCUAACACAUGCAAGUCGAACGGCAGCACAGUAAGAGCUUGCUCUUACGGGUGGCGAGUGGCGGACGGGUGAGGAAUACAUCGGAAUCUACUUUUUCGUGGGGGAUAACGUAGGGAAACUUACGCUAAUACCGCAUACGACGUACGGGUGAAAGCAGGGGAUCUUCGGACCUUGCGCGAUUGAAUGAGCCGAUGUCGGAUUAGCUAGUUGGCGGGGUAAAGGCCCACCAAGGCGACGAUCCGUAGCUGGUCUGAGAGGAUGAUCAGCCACACUGGAACUGAGACACGGUCCAGACUCCUACGGGAGGCAGCAGUGGGGAAUAUUGGACAAUGGGCGCAAGCCUGAUCCAGCCAUACCGCGUGGGUGAAGAAGGCCUUCGGGUUGUAAAGCCCUUUUGUUGGGAAAGAAAAGCAGCAGGUUAAUACCCCGCUGUUCUGACGGUACCCAAAGAAUAAGCACCGGCUAACUUCGUG
rnacentral:rRNA from 1 species